rnacentral:sRNA from 1 species
CUGACAUGUGUGCGAGUCAAC